AACGAACGCUGGCGGCAUGCCUAACACAUGCAAGUCGAACGAGAUCUUCGGGUCUAGUGGCGCACGGGUGCGUAACGCGUGGGAAUCUGCCCUUUGGUUCGGAAUAACAGUUGGAAACGACUGCUAAUACCGGAUGAUGACGAAAGUCCAAAGAUUUAUCGCCAAAGGAUGAGCCCGCGUAGGAUUAGCUAGUUGGUGUGGUAAAGGCGCACCAAGGCGACGAUCCUUAGCUGGUCUGAGAGGAUGAUCAGCCACACUGGGACUGAGACACGGCCCAGACUCCUACGGGAGGCAGCAGUGGGGAAUAUUGGACAAUGGGCGAAAGCCUGAUCCAGCAAUGCCGCGUGAGUGAUGAAGGCCUUAGGGUUGUAAAGCUCUUUUACCCGGGAUGAUAAUGACAGUACCGGGAGAAUAAGCUCCGGCUAACUCCGUUACAGCCGCCGCCGUAA
rnacentral:rRNA from 1 species